UUUAAGUACCGAAGGUCAUGAUUUCACACUGCCAAGAAAAGCUUCUAGCCAGGCGAAGGUGCCCGUACCGCAAACCGACACAGGUGGGUGAGAAGAGAAUUCUAAGGCGCGCGGAAGAACUCUCGUUAAGGAACUCGGCAAAAUGACCCCGUAACUUCGGGAGAAGGGGUGCCUCGGUAGGGUGAAUAGCCCGAGGGGGCCGCAGUGAAAAGGCCCAAGCGACUGUUUAGCAAAAACACAGGUCUGUGCGAAGCCGCAAGGCGAAGUAUACGGGCUGACGCCUGCCCGGUGCUGGAAGGUUAAGAGGAGUGGUUAGGGGGUAACCCCGAAGCUAUGAAUUGAAGCCCCAGUAAACGGCGGCCGUAACUAUAACGGUCCUAAGGUAGCGAAAUUCCUUGUCAGGUAAAUUCUGACCCGCACGAAUGGCGUAACGACUUGGGCGCUGUCUCAACGAGAGAUCCGGUGAAAUUUUAAUACCUGUGAAGAUGCAGGUUACCCGCGACAAGACGGAAAGACCCCAUGGAGCUUUACUGCAGCUUGAUAUUGGACUUUGGUACGAUCUGUACAGGAUAGGUGGGAGCCUUUGAAGCCUGAGCGCCAGCUUGGGUGGAGGCGCCGUUGGGAUACCACCCUGAUCGUAUCGGAGUUCUAACCUGGUACCGUGAUCCGGUAUGGGGACAGUGUCAGGUGGGCAGUUUGACUGGGGCGGUCGCCUCCUAAAAUGUAACGGAGGCGUUUAAAGGUUCCCUCAGAAUGGUUGGAAAUCAUUCGCAGAGUGCAAAGGCAUAAGGGAGCUUGACUGCGAGACCUACAAGUCGAGCAGGGACGAAAGUCGGACUUAGUGAUCCGGUGGUACCGAAUGGAAGGGCCAUCGCUCAACGGAUAAAAGCUACCCUGGGGAUAACAGGCUUAUCUCCCCCAAGAGUCCACAUCGACGGGGAGGUUUGGCACCUCGAUGUCGGCUCAUCGCAUCCUGGGGCUGAAGUAGGUCCCAAGGGUUGGGCUGUUCGCCCAUUAAAGCGGUACGCGAGCUGGGUUCAGAACGUCGUGAGACAGUUCGGUCCCUAUCUGUCGCGGGCGUAGGAAAUUUGAGAGGAGCUGUCCUUAGUACGAGAGGACCGGGAUGGACGUACCGCUGGUGUACCAGUUGUCUCGCCAGAGGCACCGCUGGGUAGCUAUGUACGGAGGGGAUAAGCGCUGAAAGCAUCUAAGCGCGAAGCCCCCCUCAAGAUGAGAUUUCCCAGUAUGUAAGACCCCUUGUAGACGACGAGGUUGAUAGGUUCGAGGUGGAAGUGCGGCAACGUAUGCAGCUGACGAAUACUAAUCGGUCGAGGGCUUAACCAA
rnacentral:rRNA from 1 species